AACGAACGCUGGCGGCAUGCCUAACACAUGCAAGUCGAACGAGAAGCAUCCUUCGGGAUGUGGACAGUGGCGCACGGGUGAGUAACGCGUGGGGACCUACCUUUUAGUACGGAACAACAGUUGGAAACGGCUGCUAAUACCGUAUACGCUCUUCGGAGGAAAGAUUUAUCGCUAAGAGAUGGACCCGCGUUGGAUUAGAUAGUUGGUGAGGUAAUGGCUCACCAAGUCAGCGAUCCAUAGCUGGUUUGAGAAGAUGAUCAGCCACAUUGGGACUGAGACACGGCCCCGACUCCUACGGGAGGCAGCAGCAGGGAAUCUUGCGCAAUGGGCGAAAGCCUGACGCAGCGACGCCGCGUGGGGGAUGAAGGCUUUCGGGUUGUAAACCCCUUUUGUUUGGGAA
rnacentral:rRNA from 1 species